GCCAGCGUCGAUGUAACGUGGCCGGCAAGUGGUAUCGUCCACUUACGGAGGUUGAGCUACGUUGGUCUGGUUUAGUACAGCCGUUGGUGACGGUUAGUGAAUACCCAGAGACGCUGGUA
rfam:Hydatigera taeniaeformis genome assembly, scaffold: TTAC_scaffold0007038